rnacentral:rRNA from 1 species
UGGGGAAUAUUGCACAAUGGAGGGAACUCUGAUGCAGCGACGCCGCGUGAGUGAUGAAGGAAUUCGUUUCGUAAAACUCUGUUCUAUGGGAAGAAAAGGACUGUACCAUAGGAGAAAGCUCCGGCUAAAUACGUGCCAGCAGCCGCGGUAAUACGUAUGGAGCGAGCGUUGUCCGGAAUUAUUGGGCGUAAAGGGUGCGCAGGCGGCUUUACAAGUUGGAUGUGAAAUAUUGUGGCUCAACCACAAACGUGCAUCCAAAACUGCAAAGCUUGAGUUAAGGAGAGGUAAGCGGAAUUCCUGGUGUAGCGGUGGAAUGCGUAGAUAUCAGGAGGAAUACCGGUGGCGAGGGCGACUUUCUGGACUUAAACUGACACUCAGGCAAAAAAGGGUGGGGUGCAAACAGG